UAUUGACUUUCUAGUAGAAUAUUUGUUACAGUUCUGGAGUAUACUACAGGCCACGGGAUCAGUACAGGAUAAGUAAUGUAUGUACACAGUGAUUACACCAGCAGAAUAGUGAGUGCAGCUCUGGAGUAUAAUACAGGAUGUAACUCAGGAUCAGUACAGGAUAAG